AAGGAUUGAAAGAAUAUGACCAAAUGAUCCUGCCAUUAGUGAAAGAAUAAAAUAUUGUCUGAGGCUAUAAGAGGUUUUAAUUUCUUUACCAAUGUUGGGUUUAUGAUCUAAAUUAGGAAAAAAAAGUAUUUCCUUAUUUUCACGUAAUUUUAUUGGAAAUAUAUUAUUUCCUUAUUUCACAGUAUUUCCAUCUUUAUGGUAUGAUAUGUACCUAAAGAUAGUGGCAUCUUCUUUCAGUUUAGUUCAACCAAAAUUGUUUUGUUGUAAUUUUCUCUCCAUAUCGUCGUUAUAAUAGAAUAUCAUUUCCUUUGCUUAACUAUCUUUGAUUUCUUUACUUUAAAUCUUAUUUCAUCUUUGUAAUCUUGUUACAUAUUCCAUACAAAGUCAUUAAUCACAAUCCUUUCGUUGCCUUUGGGAUCAACAAGUGGUAUUAGAGCUAAGCUACAGGUUCUUCAUGAUUUAAUUGGAAUUUUUUAGAAAUGACUACAUUGAAAUAUGUUAUUCCUCUAUUAAAUCACAAUACAAGAUUUUCUUGUGACAAGCAAAGAUGAGAGCUACUCUGGCGCAGUUUGAUUUGGACUAUGCAUUUCUGGGUUUUGAGAAGAUGCUAGCUAAUUGGACGACGGAGAAGAAACAACAGAGGAAUCGGAAGACUUUAUCGCAGAUUCAUCUUCAUUUAUCCAAUAAUAUUCUGUAGGGCGCCUUGAAGGAGAAAACAGUGGCUACUUUGUGGUUGAAAUUGGAGCAGUUAUGCAUGACUAAAAGUCUCACUAGCAAACUGGCUCUAAAGUAAAAGUUGUAUUCCCAUCGCAUGGUGGAAGAAAGGUCACUACAAGACCAAAUUGCUGUGUUCAAGGAAAAAGUUGCAGACUUAGAGACAUUAGAGGUUAAGUACGAUGAGGAGGACUUGGCCUUGAUCUCGUUGUGUCCGUCGCCUGCCUCUUAUUCUUCAUUUCAAAACAUCAUCCUAUACAAUCGUGAUACUUUGACCAUUAAGGAUGUCUACGAUGCUCUGUUCUCAAAGGAGAAGAUAAAACAUUUGACUGGAGCUACAUCGAGGAAUGAGGAAGCUCCGAUAUCUCAUGGUGAUCGACUGAUGGGUAGAUUGAGGAUGAACUUCAUCAAUUUGUACUGCUUCUACCACAGGAGGAAAGGACACGUUAAGAGAGAUUACGAUACAUUGCAAGCUAAAGAUAAUUUAGCUACAAAUCAUAAAGCACAAUCAUGCAAUUCGGACGAGACUAAUGUUAUCGAGAAUUUUUCGAAUGACAGUGAUCGUGGUAUCUAGCGUGGAGUUUAAACUUGACAAGAAGUGGAUUCUCGAUUCGGCAUGUUCACAUCAUAUGUGUUCCAACCGAAAUUUCUUUCAAACAUAUAAGGCUGUCAAGCAAGGUAAAGUUGUGAUGGGGAACAACCAGUCUUGCCAUGUUGCUCGAAUUGGUCGAGUCAGAUUAAGGUUGUAGGAUGGGACGGUUAGAACAAUUGAUCAGGUUCGACAUGUUCCAGACCUGAAAAAUAAUCUCAUCUUGUUGAGUUCCCUAAAUGCAAAAGGGUAUAAUUUCUUUGGUGGAGGUGGAGUCUUGAAGGUCCGAAGAGGUGUUCGUGUUGUACUGGAUGGACAGAAAAAGUCACAGUUGUACAUCUUACAGGGAAGCGUAGAACCAGUUAAGAGACAUCUAGAUAAGUUCAGUACCGUGGUGGAUAUUUAGGUAUGGAUCGAUUCAAAACAUUGUUCAAGAGAGUAUUGGUGAUUUCUCUUUGCCACAAGUUUUAGCGAAAAUAUUGUGUUCAGUUGUUAGAGUUGGACUCAUGGAAAAUAGCUACAGUGGUGUAAAUGAUAUCUGUAAUGCUUUUGGGAUCACUGAAGGUGAAAAUUCUAGCAAGGAGCCUUCUGAUCAGGCAUUUGGUGUAGUUUCUACUAGAGGGUGUGCUUCGACCCUGUUUGGUCAACAAUAAUUUCUUAGUGGAAUUUUGAGAACUUGAGAAUUUGGUUCGGGUGUUGCUUGUAGACGUAGGGCAGAUGAAGAUUUUUUUGUAAUGGAGAGUUUUUGUUACUGUUUUAAAGAGUUCGAUUAUGUCAAUGCAGUUGGACAUACUUUUCUAGAUGGAGAAAGUUUGGAGAUUCAUUCGUUACACCGGAAUUUGGGUCAAGGUGGAGAUUGUUGGGUUUAUUACCUAAAUUAGGGGAAAAAAUCCUUAUUUUCACGUGGAAAAAACUGUUUCCUCAUUUUCACUUGAUUUUAUUGAAAAUAUAUUAAUUUUCUUAUUUCACAUUAUUUUCAUCUUUAUGGUAUGGUAUAUACUUAUAAAUAUUGACCUCUUCUUUCAGUUUAGUUCACACUAAAAUUGUUAUGUUGUAUUUUUCUCUCCAUAUCGUUGUUUUAAUAAAGCAUCGUUUCCUCUCCUUAACUCUCUUUGAUUUCUUUACUUUAAAUUUUGUUUUAUCUUUAUGAUCUUGUUACAUAUUUCAUACAACGUCAUUAAUUUCAAUAUUUGUGUCGCCUUUGGGAUCAAAAACCAGUGUCUUUGACAAUGUUUUCCACUUCUCUAAUACACGGUGUUUUGUCUACAAUUUGUUCUAUCUGUGGCAGCAAAACUACAACAUAUUAUUGCAACCUUGGCAUUGGGAAGUGCAGGAAUAGGUGGGGGUUGGACCAAGAAUUAAACCAAGAGAUGAGCUAUUUUGGUCUAAUAUGCCAUAAUUAUUAUUAUUAUCCUUAAGGCUAAAACAUGGUGGAUUUUGCACUCGUUCUUCUUUUUUUUCUUUUUUUCUUCCUCCUAGGUGGGGGUAGAUUGGUAAGCAGUUCAUGAAUUUGAUUAUAUCAUAUAUGAAGCUCUGACAUAGUUGUCCUUUUAAUGCAAUGGCAAUUUGGGUAUAAUUCGUGAUUCGUAAAGAAGCACUUGCUUUAUUAUCUACGAAUAAUUUUAGGGUAUGCAUAAAUUUUAAAUUGUAACACAAAUUCCUUCUAUAUAUUCUGCAGAAAUAAAAUUAUGUUGGAGUAUCAUAAUCAAUAGCUUGAGACUGCAGUUUAUUUAGCGUAGGUUUGCGUGAUAGUUUUUAUGGAUUAUGCUACUUGUACAUAAUACGGUGUCAAUAUCCGAACUAGGUCCCCCUUCAUGUGAAGGGAUGGACACCAAUAUGAAUACCCUAAUGUACAUGUAGAAUCACCCAGUUUUUAUGCCGUUAAAGCACCUUGCCACUCUAUAUAUGAGCACAUUAUUUACAUAUAUUGCACAAAAUGAGUGAAAAUACAUGUAAGUUUAUUUUUGUGAUGUGCAGGAAGUUGAUUAUUUUUUGGAUAGCUAAAGAUCAAAAGAAGCAAAUUUGUUGAUAUAUUGCUCGAUUAUUUUGUAAUAUUUAAAUCAAUUAUUUUUGAAUUGUAG
rnacentral:lncRNA from 1 species